rnacentral:rRNA from 1 species
UAUUAAAGUUGUUGCAGUUAAAAAGCUCGUAGUUGAAUUUCGGGAUCAAAUUGUCGGUCGUGCCUCGGUACGUACUGGUAUUAUUGGUUCCUCCCUUCUGACGAACCACGAUGUCAUUAAUUUGGUGUCAUGGGAAAUCAGGACUGUUACUUUGAAAAAAUUAGAGUGUUUAAAGCAGGCUCGCGCUUGAAUACAUUAGCAUGGAAUAAUGAAAUAGGACGUUUGAUUCUAUUUUGUUGGUUUCUAGGAUCGACGUAAUGAUUAAUAGGGAUAGUUGGGGGCAUUAGUAUUCAAUUGUCAGAGGUGAAAUUCUUGGAUUUAUUGAAGACUAACUACUGCGAAAGCAUUUGCCAAGGAUGUUUUCAUUAAUCAAGAACGAAAGUUAGGGGAUCGAAGACGAUCAGAUACCGUCGUAGUCUUAACCAUAAACUAUGCCGACUAGGGAUCGGAUGAUGUUAAUUU